GGUGCCUUAGCAGGCGCUAUACGGUUUCCUAAACCGUGUGUCGCAGGUUCGAAUCCUGCCGGGGGCACCUUCA
rnacentral:tRNA from 1 species